UGUUAGCAUGCUGGGCGAAAUGCUUAGCGGUAUUUCGUCUGUCUAUAUUUUCUGAGUUCAAAUUCUGCUGAAGUCAACUUUGCUUUUCAUCCUUUCAGGGUUGAUACAUUACAUAUCAGUUGCAUACUUGGAUCAAUCUAAUCCACUGGGCCCCUCCCCCAAAAUUUCAUCCCUUGAGCCUAGAGUAGCAAA